CUGCCCUUUUGAAUGUUCUUUCAUCUCUAUUCCUUUUGUUUAUUUGUUUGUAUGUAAGCACCUCCUCUUUUGGGAUUUUUUCUCUUUCUCUUUGUGUCUUUUCUCUCAUCUUUAUCUCUUUCCAGAUUUCUAAUUGAUAUUGUUCUUUGGUUUAUCAUGGGUUUCUUUACUUCUUUUUGUUUGUUUUUAUUUUCAGUAUAUUUAUUUCCUUAAUUUUCUUGGAUUCUUAUAGAACAUUAGGUUUAUAGGUAUGUGAUUAAUUUCUUAUUUAAUUCUGCACAUGCAUGUGCAUCAUGUAUUUCUAGUGCUAAUUUUGGAUUUUUUUUUGUGCUCAUUGUCUUGCUAUUUUCUACUGCAUGGAUUAUUUUGUUUGCUUUAUUUGAAAAAAUAAGAGAAAAUAAUAAAAGGUGAAAGGUAUGACAGUCUUGUAAUGUUCUUUAUGCAUUCAACAAUAUGCUCAGAAAAGGAAGAAGAGUAAAGUGGCCAUUCCUAACACAAGGUACAAUAAUUAAUGGGUAUACACAAUUUUUUUUCACAAAGUAGUCUCUUAGUUGUAACUUACAUAUUUUAAUUAAAGGUUAAGUAUUAAUGAGUCAAAAUAGAGUUUCACAUCUCACUCAACCAAAAAAAGGAAAAAAAGAUAGCUGAUAGUAGUACUCAGAUGAUUAAUUUUAGUGGGAAGAUUUGAUAUUAAAAAUGUUGUGCAAAGGUAUAGAAAAACAAAGAGCUCAAAUUCAGAUGAUCGGACUUUGACACACAAAUGAAUAUGUAUAUUGAAGAGAAACUUCUUGUUUGAAAUUCUGUCAUCCUUGACAAAGAUUUCAUUUUUUAUCUACUUAUUCUAUUUCUUUUCCCUGGGUUUCUCUUUCUUUAGAGUAUACAGCAGUAUACUUUUGGGUUUCUAGCUACGAUCGAUUUUGCGGUUAUGUGAGGAAGAUAAUACUUAUGCGAUGUAGUUUAUAUGCAUUAAUUGUAUAACAUUUUUUGGUUUACGUGUGUAGUAUUAUACACAUAUAGCCGUGUUUGUGUCAAAUUAAAUAAUUUCUUUCGGCAUAAAGUCAUUUUAAGCUCCAAAUGGCACUUAAGAUAACUGUUUCUCAUGGUAUAAUUAGCUAAGCUAAAAGAUAUUAUAACUGAAUUUGCUUAAGGUUAGGUAGUAAGAUGACCUAACACCCCCUUCUUGACGACCACUUACAUUAUGUACUGUAUAUUAAAACAAUGUAGUGGCCUAUGUUGUGUUUGAAAAUUGAUGGCCAUGUCAAGGGUGUGAAUGACUGGCAUACUCGAAUCUAUUGAUAGAGUUAAAUUCUAAAAAGAAGAAGAAGAAGAAUGACUUGGCAUUUUGUUUACCCAAACCAACAGUUUUGUGUUGUCAUGUGGAUGAUGAUGCUCACAUCAAAGCUGCUCCGGCUUGAAUCUAGAGUCUCCUCUUACUGUGAAUCUUCCGGGAUAAUUUAAUUUUCAAUGUAAAAUUUUGACAAGUGUCGGAUUUAAUUUUGGAGGAUAUGAUGCUCUUGUGCGUUUGAUAUGCCCUCAUCAGAAAGAGAACUUGCAGGACUCAUUUGAUCGUGUAUGGUUUUAUUUGUCAUUGCUUAGGAGAAAACUUUAGGAUCUUACUACUCUAUUUCUAGGAAAAUGAUGACUGAUUGGCUGUGAUCUUAGAAGUUAUUAUUCUUGGUAAUUUUUACAAGGCAUAGGAUAUCAAUAUGGAUUUGGCCUAAAACAUUUUCUACUGCUGCAGGUGUCUUUUUCUAAUCGAGAAGAAAGAUGAGUGCUUACCAUGGCAAAGAAGAAGAAUCCACGGAAUCAUGACUAAAGUCCGGCAUGAAUGCCCCAAUAGUGACAUUUAGGAGUGACAUGCGGGCGGGGCGGGUGGGUAUGGUUCGGGUCGAAAACGGGUAAUGAAAAAACGGAUAAAUUAUCCGAUCUGAUUAUAUUAUACAUGGCUUCUUGCAUAUGAUCCUUUGGGAGAAUUCUUAGUCUCCCUAACUUGAAGAACCCCCAAUUUGAGGCUUUACAAAUGUAAAAGUUAGACUCAUUGGUUAUCCAACGGUUACCUAUUGGUUAUCCUUUUUUUAAAUGGAUAAUAUGGUUUUCAUCCAUAUUUGACUCAUUUUUAAAAAGUUCAUAAUACAACCCAUUUUUAAGUGGAUAAUAUGGGUGGUUAACUGUUUUCUUUUAACCAUUUUGCCACCCAUAGUGACAUUCUAUGGACUGAGAUGGCGCCUUAGCUCAAUCCUCAUGUUAUUGCUGCAGACAGAGAGUUAUUUGGAAAAAGAGGAAGUUAGACAAAACUAGACAUGUGUUUAAUGUGAUGUUUAUUGUUGCACCAUGUUUAUAAUUUUUAGGCAUUGCAUUACAGGUUUGAAGAGCAGCAUGGUAGUAGAUUGCAGAGGAAUACAGAGCUGUGUUGCUACAAAACAUGGAGAAGGUGGGAGCCAUAUUGGAAGAGGAAAUUAGCCAAGGAGAUGGUAGACAAGUAGUUGAAAGUGCUGCAGAAUUCAUAAAGAUUGCCUUGGUUAGAGAAGACGAUGAGAAGAGUCACAGUUAUAUGUGUUGACUAAUUUUUUCAGUCUUAACUGAUAUUUCAACUGGGAAUCCUCUUUGUCUUCCACGUGUAUCCAAACAAAAAGAUUCACUCUCUUUAUGUCCCAUCACAUGUAUUGGAGAAUAUUUCAGAUAUCUUUUGCAUAUGCUACUGCUAAAACAAUACGUGUAUUAUUAGUCAUAUUGGGCUUCCCUUACUAGUUUUUAAAGGAAGAUGAUACCUUAAGAAAAUCAUUU
rnacentral:lncRNA from 1 species